rnacentral:rRNA from 1 species
UGGGGAAUUUUGGACAAUGGGCGCAAGCCUGAUCCAGCCAUGCCGCGUGUCUGAAGAAGGCCUUCGGGUUGUAAAGGACUUUUGUCAGGGAAGAAAAGGACAGGGUUAAUACCUCUGUUUGAUGACGGUACCUGAAGAAUAAGCACCGGCUAACUACGUGCCAGCAGCCGCGGUAAUACGUAGGGUGCGAGCGUUAAUCGGAAUUACUGGGCGUAAAGCGAGCGCAGACGGUUACUUAAGCAGGAUGUGAAAUCCCCGGGCUCAACCUGGGAACUGCGUUCUGAACUGGGUGACUAGAGUGUGUCAGAGGGAGGUAGAAUUCCACGUGUAGCAGUGAAAUGCGUAGAGAUGUGGAGGAAUACCGAUGGCGAAGGCAGCCUCCUGGGAUAACACUGACGUUCAUGCUCGAAAGCGUGGGUAGCAAACAGGAUUAGAUACCCUGGUAGUCCACGCCCUAAACGAUGUCAAUUAGCUGUUGGGCAACUUGAUUGCUUAGUAGCGUAGCUAACGCGUGAAAUUGACCGCCUGGGGAGUACGGUCGCAAGAUUA